AUUUCCGCUUCAACCACUCGUGAACGCGAGCGCAGGCGCGCCGGAGGAAACGGAGGCUGCGCUUGCGUAUAGCUGUCCAGCGACACCAUCAUGCAUUCAUUUCUCCAACAAACAUUUUCAUGGGCUCUUGCUCUAUACUGGGGAUGUAGUGGUAAAUGAAAUGGACGAGGCCCUGCCCUCGUGGAACUUACAGUCUGGCAAAGGAAACAGACAAUAAAAUUCUCAGUUGUCUAAGGAGGCAGAGAUGCAUGGGGAGAGGAUCAGAGUAGGGAUGCGGAAGCAGCGAGUGGUCAGGAGUGUGCGUGCCAAAAGGCAGGAGACCUGUGGGACGUGGGGGCAGCUGGGGCCGGAACUUGCGCUGGAGGAACACCCCUUGCCUGCUGGGGCGAGAAGAGGACCCUUUCCUUGGGUGAAAUUCCCCAUAUUGUUAAAAGGACAAUUAAAGAAAUGAAAGAGAGGUCACCUGGGUGAAUAGGCAACUUAGAUGGGCCUCCCUGUGUUCCUGUCAUGCCUCCAAUUCUGCGUCCAGGUGUCCGGAACACAUUUUUUUCUGCCUUUGAAACCUUCCAGUACCUCUGGCAGAGAUAUACCAUACCCUCCUUGUUACCUGCGUGCGGAAUCUUAACUCAUCGUUGUGCUACAUCUGCACCUUCUGCCUUUGUGCCUUGUUUUGUGUUUUCCCUCCUCCGGGGAGAAUAUAAUAAACUUAGCUGAGUCCGUUCUACAUACAAGGAAAUAAUUUAUUUUCUGCUAUGUGUUUGGGGAUGGGGAUAAAAAAAUGAACAAGAAACUAGCUCCUAUCAUUAAGGCACAGAUAGCCCUUUGAAACAUUACUUAACGGGCUAUGGAUAAGCUUCAGGAUAUUGCUGAUCCCCUAAAAUUAUACGCUAACUUAAAUUUUUUUUUUUUUGAGACAGAGUCUUGCACUCUUGCCCAGGCUGGAGUGCAAUGGCAUGAUCUCGGCUCACUGCAACCUCUGCCUCCCCGGUUCAAGCGAUUCUCCUGCCUCAGCCUCCCAAAUAGCUGGGAUUAAAGGUGCCUGCCACCAUGCCCUUUUAAUGUUUUGUAUUUUUAGUAGAGACGGG
rnacentral:lncRNA from 1 species